GGAGAGGUGACCGAGAGGCUGAAGGUGAGCGCCUGCUAAGCGUUUGUGCGCCAAAAGCGUACCGAGGGUUCGAAUCCCUCCCUCUCCG
rfam:Candidatus Entotheonella sp. TSY1 genomic scaffold TSY1_scaffold00100, whole genome shotgun sequence.